GCGUGCGUGCGUGGUGCACGCGCACGCCGCCCGGAGGCGGGGACUUCACACUGCGCGCCUUCUCAUUGGCCCGAUUCUCUGCGGCCCGCCCUCUCCGCCCGGCACGCCUCCUCUGUGCUCCCGAAGCGUUCCGCCUUUCUGAGCGGCGGUUAUGGCGGGGGGGGCGAGGGCCCAGGCGCUCCCUAUGCCCCCACGCCUCUAAGUUAGAAAACCGAAGAGCUCCCAGUUAGAAAGUCCUGUGCAUCUGUAAUACCCUGGCAUUAGAGGUUGAGAAACUAAUGAAGAUAAUACAGCUAUUAAGUCAGGAUUGGACCCAGCUAUUUUAGAACUCCAGAUCUAGAACCAGCAGCCACUGCACCGCUCAGCUGAGAAAACGGAGCUACUACCGAGCAUUACUGAGGAGAAACCUGGAGCUGUCAGCUGAGUCAUAGCCCUGCCUGUCCACGUGAAAGGGAAACUGUUAACAGAAUUUAUCUUUGUUGAGAUGGAUGAGGGGAUUUAAACAGAGGC